GUAGCUGCUGUAAGUACCAUAGUAAACAGAGGGAUAACACCAAAAGCUUUUGUGUUCAGAAACUAUGGUCAUUUUCCUGGAAUCAACUCUCAUUAUUUGGGAGGCUGUCAGUAUAAAAUGUGGCAGGCCAUUAGAGCCUCAUCUGCUGCUCCAGGCUACUUUGCAGAAUAUGCAUUGGGAAAUGAUCUUCAUCAAUUAACAGAAGUCCAUAUAAUGCUUGAUGGUCUGUUACCUCCUGACACCUAUUUUAGAUUCAAUCCUGUAAUGUGUGAAAACAUACCUCUAGAUGAAAGUCGAAAUGAAAAGCUGGAUCAACUGCAGUUGGAAGGGUUGAAGUACAUAGAAAGAAAUGAACAAAAAAUGAAAAAAGUUGCAAAAAUAUUAAGUCAAGAAAAAACAACUCUACAGAAAAUUAAUGAUUGGAUAAAGUUAAAAACUGACAUGUAUGAAGGCCUUCCAUUCUUUUCAAAAUUGUGAUGAGUGUGUGUAUAUGUUCUCAUAAAUGAAGUCCUGUCCAGAAGACUCACCAAAUUCAAUAAGGAAUUGUGAGGUUCAACAUGAGUUAAUGUUGAAAUACUUACGAAUUCUGGGAAAUCCUGAAAAAGAUGGUGCUUUGGCCAGCUUGCACAGCACAGAGGAUAUGUUUGGCUACAGAAUUAAUAUGGGAAUUAGGUUUUUAAAAUGUUAAUAAUUAACUUUAGGAAUUGUAUUGUGCUAGUUGGUUUUAGUAGAUAUUGGUGUUAUAUUGUUUGAUGUUUGAAAAUAUAUUAAUAUAUGUGCCAAACAAGAAACUAAAAACUAU